GCAAUUGUGGCGGAAUUGGUAGACGCGCUACAUUCAGGCUGUAGUGUUAUUAAAACGUGUGAGUUCGAAUCUCAUCAAUUGCA
rnacentral:tRNA from 1 species